rnacentral:rRNA from 1 species
UGGGGAAUAUUGGACAAUGGGCGAAAGCCUGAUCCAGCCAUGCCGCGUGAGUGAUGAAGGCCUUAGGGUUGUAAUGCUCUUUUAGCGGGGACGAUAAUGACGGUACCCGCAGAAUAAGCCCCGGCUAACUUCGUGCCAGCAGCCGCGGUAAUACGAAGGGGGCUAGCGUUGUUCGGAAUUACUGGGCGUAAAGCGCACGUAGGCGGACUGUCAAGUCAGGGGUGAAAUCCCGGGGCUCAACCUCGGAACUGCCUUUGAUACUGUCAGUCUAGAGUCCGGAAGAGGUGGGUGGAAUUCCUAGUGUAGAGGUGAAAUUCGCAGAUAUUAGGAAGAACACCGGUGGCGAAGGCGGCCCACUGGUCCGGAACUGACGCUGAGGUGCGAAAGCGUGGGGAGCAAACAGG